AUGUAUGGGUCAUAAAGAUCUUUGUGGCACUAGGAUGCAAAAGAAAAAAUUCCCUGCGCAUUCUGUCUUUGUGACGGCUCAGAUUAAAUUAGGGAAUACAUUU